rnacentral:misc_RNA from 1 species
AAGUCGUAACAAGGUUUCCGUAGGUGAACCUGCGGAAGGAUCAUUAACACUUACCUGCUUUAUACUAGCAAUAGUAUAAAUCAUGUAUAACACAAACCCGCGCUCCUUCUUUUUUUCCACACCAUUAACCCUUUUUUUAAUUUAAUUAUAUCUUAUAACGAUCUACAAGAUUUAAUUCUUGUUGGGUUGCUAUAUUCAUAGUCUAAUCUAUGUUUAAACACAACUCUUAACAAUGGAUAUCUUGGCUCUCGUACCGAUGAAAAACGCAGC